GAUGAACGCUGGCGGCGUGCCUAAUACAUGCAAGUCGAGCGAACAGACGAGGAGCUUGCUCCUCUGACGUUAGCGGCGGACGGGUGAGUAACACGUGGAUAACCUACCUAUAAGACUGGGAUAACUUCGGGAAACCGGAGCUAAUACCGGAUAAUAUAUUGAACCGCAUGGUUCAAUAGUGGAAGACGGUUUUGCUGUCACUUAUAGAUGGAUCCGCGCCGCAUUAGCUAGUUGGUAAGGUAACGGCUUACCAAGGCAACGAUGCGUAGCCGACCUGAGAGGGUGAUCGGCCACACUGGAACUGAGACACGGUCCAGACUCCUACGGGAGGCAGCAGUAGGGAAUCUUCCGCAAUGGGCGAAAGCUUGACGGAGCAACGCCGCGUGAGUGAUGAAGGUCUUCGGAUCGUAAAACUCUGUUAUUAGGGAAGAACAAAUGUGUAAGCAACUAUGCACGUCUUGACGGUACCUAAUCAGAAAGCCACGGCUAACUACGUG
rnacentral:rRNA from 1 species